UACGUAGGUGGCAAGCGUUGUCCGGAUUUACUGGGCGUAAAGGGCGCGUAGGCGGUCCGACAAGUCAGGGGUGAAAUCCUGCAGCUUAACUGCAGAAGUGCCUUUGAUACUGUCGGUCUGGAGGGAGAUAGGGGUGUGCGGAACUCACAGUGGAGCGGUGAAAUGCGUUGAUAUUGUGAGGAACGCCGGAGGCGAAAGCGGCGCACUGGAUCUCUUCUGACGCUGAGGCGCGAAAGCUAGGGGAGCAAACGGG
rnacentral:rRNA from 1 species